UUUAUUGAGAGUUUGAUCCUGGCUCAGGAUGAACGCUGGCGGCAUGCCUAAGACAUGCAAGUCGAACGAGGUGGCCCAAAGAAGAUUGAGUGCUUGCACAAGAUUGGACUUGGAUUACCACCUAGUGGCGGACGGGUGAGUAACACGUAGGUGACCUGCCUUUGAGUUUGGGAUAACUAUUAGAAAUGAUAGCUAAUACCGAAUUAAAUGCAGAUUCGUUUCUGUAUUAAAAGGAGCCUUUAAAGCUUCGCUUAAAGAUGGGCCUGCGGCGUAUUAGCUAGUUGGUGAGGUAAUGGCUUACCAAGGCGACGAUGCGUAGCCGAACUGAGAGGUUGAUCGGCCACAUUGGGACUGAGACACGGCCCUGACUCAUACGGGAGGCAGCAGUGGGGGAUAUUGCACAAUGGGGGAAACCCUGAUG
rnacentral:rRNA from 2 species